CAUAUAAAUAAGCGGAGGAAAAGAAACCAACAGGGAUUCCCUUAGUAACGGCGAGCGAACAGGGAAGAGUCCAGCGCCGAAUUUCACGUUCGUUACGGACGUUUGAAAAAUGUGGCGUUUAGGAAGUCGCGCGCCGGAGUCGGACUCUGCAGCAAGUCCCCCUGACCGGGGCUGUUACCCAGAGCGGGUGCGAGGCCCAUAGUUGCUAAGUCCGCUACGGAUGCGACCUCUUGGGAGUCGGGUUGCUUGGGAGUGCAACCCUAAUUGGGUGGUAAACUCCACCUAAGACUAAAUACGGCCGUGAGACCGAUAGCAAACAAGUAC
rnacentral:rRNA from 1 species